rnacentral:tRNA from 1 species
GGGGAUGUAGCUACAUUGGUAGAGCACUUGCCUAGCAUGCAGGAAGCUCUGGGCUCCAUCCCCA